GAUGCCGAUGAUAGGACGUUGAAUGCACCAGUUCCCAAUCGAUCACCGAAGUUGAGCAACGUUUCGCGUGGUUAAAUGGUCACCCAUCUGCACAAUCACGUCCUGCCAGCU
rnacentral:rRNA from 1 species